GACAGUGUGGCAUAGUGGUUUGAGUGUUGGACUAGGACUCUGGAGACCAGGGUUCAAAUCCAUUGGGUGACC
rnacentral:tRNA from 1 species